GAAAUUUCUGUUGGACAGAUGGAACUGCUUAAAGACUAUCAUGCAAUGUUUUGUUUUGUAUUCCUUACUCUGCAGCCCUGCUUCUCCCAGCCACUGUCUACUGUACCCAAUACACUUUGACACAGAAUAAAGUCAAAUGCCUAUAUUAUGUGAACACUGAGGGCUGGUUACUUUUGAAAUCUUUUCUUCCCUGCAGCAUUUUUUUAAAUAAUUGUUUUUUUUAUGGAUACCUUUGACUUGUGACGGGACUGAGACUUUCCUGCAGAUGGUCUGAGGGUUAUUUUGCCUCCCUUCGCCUUUGUCCUCUGUACGGUGGAUAAGAAUUCCUUCCUUUGAAGAAAAGAGUGAUUUAAAACAGGAAAAACAGACAGGAAAGGUUUCAGCCACUGUCUGGAGUUAUGGGCUGUGGCAUUGACUGAUUUCUGAAACACUAAUAUUAAUUAGCUUAACUACAAACCAUCUGAACAGCUCAGACCUUCCACUGAGCCAUUGUGAGGCCUGCAGCAACGAUUGGCUGAUGCCACAGAGCCACAUAAAAGGCUGAAUCAACACUAAAAGCUGUGGACCAAGCCCCUCGGAAGGUUCCGGAAGCAUAACGGAGGAACUAAGGGGAUGCCGGCAGGGGUGAAGAGGGCAGCCCCACAUUCCCCGCCAGCUUAACAGGGCUGCCCAGCAGGAGAGAGCUCGUUUUCUUUCAUCUUGCGGCCAGUCGUUGGGGGUCGCUGGGGGUCCGGCCUCCUCAGUAUGCCUGCAGCACAGCCCGAGAUCUGGUUCCUUUGGGGAAUACAUGCAAACAUCUGGGCUGCUCUCUGCUCCUGCCAGCUAAACUUUCAGCAAAAACCUGUCCAGGACCUUAGGAUGGUGAGGGGGUGACUGCUGAGCAUUUAAAUAAAGAGCAAAGAUAAGUAUUUGUAUCCUGUCUGUCUCUUUCACUUCUUUCCUUCCAUACUUAUUGCAGUGUGGUUCUCAAAACAGUAGAGAUGCAUCUACAGCUGCCUCUGAAAAGGUGUCUGUUGUUUCUUCAGGACAUUGUGGCAUAUUAAUGUCCUGUUUCUGCAGCAUUCAGAAGAACAAGCUUGAAUUUUGAUUAAUUGUGAGCGAGAGGAAGCCUGGAAUCUAGAUCAGCUAGAUGUUUGUUUCAGAGCAGGAAGGCCGAACUACUAAACGUGGGCAAUACAGACAGUGGUCAGAGCUGCAAGAUCAUCACCCCACAUCAUGCUUGGUGAAAGGUGGACAUCUUCCCUUGCCUUUCCACGAAUGUGCUGCACUAUUUCUGUCAUUUAUUAGGGAUGAUGCCUUUGGCGUGAUGAAGAAUGCAGAUGAGCACUACAAAAUAGACUUCAGCUGGUAACAUGGGAAUACAAGGAGUUUUUGACGAUAUGGAAUAGUUGGGGGGGGUCAUUUCCUUUAACCUAGACUGACCCAUAAUUACCAAAAAUCAAUGUGCGCUUUUGACACAAACUGAAUACCAGCUCUAUGUUUGCAAUUCCAUGAAACACCGAUCUUGGUAUUUUGAUGCAGAUUUAUGUUGGUCUAUAUUUCUCCUCUGCUCAGUGUCUCUGACACCUGAAAGACAGAAUGUAUGUCCUCAGGGGAGGAUGUGACAGAACCGUAACAGGAAACAUCCUCCUAUCAUUGCCAACACCCCCCUGAGGUCAUCCAGUUUAACCCUUUACUUCCUGCAAAAAAAAACCCGUGUAAAGAAAUUAAAGAACAGGAAUUUGGAACAGGAAAAUUAAACAGGAUUUAUAUAUUUUUUGUAAUUUAUUGCACAUUAAGUAAUAUGCAAUAAAUGAUAUUUAAAAAUACUUGCAGAUUGUGUGUAGUACCUCCUGCUGUUUCUUGUAAUAAGAAUUAAAUAUUAUCAGAUGUAUUAUUUUUUCUUAUUUGCCUCUUUUCUGAUUAUGCAGCCGUUAAACUACAUUCGUCAGAAAUCCUAAGGAAAGACUGAACACAUCCAUAGCCCACAUCAUCCCCCAAAGGAAUCUUAAUCCCACGACUGACCUUCUAAGCUUCAUCAGUCCCGGCACCUUUCAUACCGAACGUCUACCUUCAGAGCCAGGAUGGAGAUGUUCCUGCUCUGGAGAGGAUUCUCAUCCCUGCUUGGUCUCUUUCCACUCUGCUGGGCACAGAGUCUUGUCCAGCUGAAUGUAGGACUGCAGGUUGGUCGUGGGCAGUUUGUUUACGUGACCGGCGAGGAUCUACGGUUUGAUGUCCAAUAUAACGUGACAUCCUGCAAGGUGGAGGUGGUGAUGAACGAGCCCGUGACGCAAAGAGUGGGCGUGUUCACUCCCCAGGUUUUCGACUGCCACUUCUUGCCAGAUGAAGUUAAAUACACCCAUAAUGGCAGCCCAUUGCUGCAGGAGGACACGGUCAUGCUGAGAAUCUAUAGGUUUACCGAUUCCGAGACUUUCAUAGAACCUGUGUCAGUGAGGGUCAGGGUUGUUGAGCCCCACAACAGUCUUAUCAAGUUUGGGAGCGUGCCUGUGGAGGUUCAGAAGUUCUACGGCCUGUCCAACACCUUGGACAGCAGAGUUCUAACAUUCCAGAACAGACCGGGAUAUAUUUGUAAUGUCAGACUCCUCACUUCUGAAACUAACAUGCCAGCACUUGGGCAACUGGUCACAGAUGAUUCCGUCAGCACAGUCCCAACGACAGAUAUGGAGCAGACACCUACAUCCAACACAGGGCCCAGAAGAGGCCGGCAGACAGGACUCCUAUGCCCUGGAAAUAAGCCCUGUGCCCGCAAUGCUAAGGAAGUCAAUUUCCUGAAGGUCAACUGUGAGGAAUUUCUUAAUUCUCACUUCAAGUACCAGCACCUCAGCCCUCCGUCCCCCGAGACUGACUACAUCCCUAUCAGGGUGGAGCUACGGGACCACAGCUCAAGGGCUCUUUUGGAGGCUGAGAGUGUUUGGAUCCCAGUCCUGAUCCGGGGUGCCUUACAAAACCAGCCUCCCCAUGCCGCGUUCAUGUCUAUGUUCAUCCUGGAGGUGGACCAGUUCAUCCUCACCCCCAUGACCACGGCCGCGCUCGACGCCAAGGACGAUGAGACUCCACAAGCACAGCUUGUUUUCAAUGUCACCAAACCCCCAUCUGAGGGAUACAUCACGCACUUAGAAGACCACACCAAACCAAUCACCUCCUUCACCUGGCAGGAUCUCCACGAGAUGAAGAUCGCCUACCAGCCCCCCAACUGCAGUCACACUGGCAGAAGGAACUAUGAGGUAGAAUUCCAAGCCAUCGACAGUACAUUUGUCCCUAGUCCUGCCAUCAUGGUUCACUUCUCAGUACGGACGGCAGAGACAAAUGCCCCUCGUGUCUCCUGGAAUAUGGGCAUGGAUCUGCUGGAGGGUCAAUCCAGACCAAUCACCUGGGAGAAUUUGCAAAUUGUGGACAGUGACAACAUUGGGGCGGUGUACCUGGUGGCUGUGGAAGGCCCUUUACAUGGACAACUGAGUGUUCGAGGUGGGAAAGGCUUUAUGUUCAAGGUGCAUGACCUGCACGAGGGCGUGGUUGUGUACCAUCACUCGGACAGCGACACCACCCGCGACCACAUCGUGUUCCGCAUCACCGAUGGCCAGCACAGCAUCCGGCACCGAUUCCCCAUCAACAUCCUCCCCAAAGACGACACGCCCCCGAUCCUGAUCAACAACAUGGCUCUCGAGGUGCCCGAGGGGGGCUCGCUCCUGCUGGAGGAGUACAUGCUGUUGGCUUCAGAUCUGGACUCCAGUGAUGACUACAUCCUGUACCAGAUACUAACAGCCCCGCGGGCAGGCGAGGUCAUCAGGAGGUCAUCUCCCCAGCUCCCAGGAGUGCUGGUGACUAGCUUCCUGCAGAGGGACCUUCUCCUUGGCCUGAUCUACUACAGACACCUAGGAGACGAGGUCUUUGAAGACUCCUUUGACUUCAUCCUCUCCGACAGCCACCAGCCACCAAACUUAUCCCAAAGACAUACGGUGGUGGUUCACGUCUCUCCAGUGAAGGACCAGCUGCCGCACGAGGUUCCCGGCGUCGUUCGCUCGGUCACGGUCAAGGAGACCGAGGUCAUCCACCUCACUCAGAGCCACCUGCACUUCAGAGACCCAGAAUCCCCCGACACAGACCUGAUCUACUCCAUCACCCGGCCCUGCUUCAGCCCCACAGCUGCCUGGUUAGCAGAUGCUGGCAGGCUUUUCUAUGCUGACAGUGCACUCUCCAUGAAGAAGGACCCUGCUCUUCCAGUACUGAAGACUUUCACUCAGCAUGCAGUGAACCACCUGAAGGUGGGGUACAUGCCUCCACUUGAAGACAUUGGACCAGAGCCCAUCUUUGUGCAGUUUGUUUUCUCUGUGAGUGACCAGCAGGGCGGCGCACUCAGCGGCCUUGUCUUCAAUAUCACAGUUACGCCAGUGGACAAUCAGCCUCCUGAGAUAUUUGUCAACCUCCUACGACUCGAGGAGGGAGGAGGCGUGUUUCUAACAGAGGAGCACAUCCUGGUGCGGGACGCGGACAGCCGGGGGGAUCAGCUCUUGGUGCGGCUGCGGACGGCACCUGAGCACGGAAGGGUUGAGCUGCAGGGGGUACCGCUGACGGAGGGGUACAGCUUCACCAUACAGGACCUGCGGAUGCUCCGGGUCAGAUACAUCCAUGACGACAGCGAGACCCUGGAAGAUGCCAUAGGCUUCACGGCGACAGAUGGCACCAACUCCGCUGACGGCCGGCUGCCCGUGCAGAUCCUUCCCGUAAAUGACCAGCCACCCCUGCUUGGCUUGGGGCUGCGUUCAGGGCUGACCUGCAAGGAGGGGGGGCGCGUGCAAAUCACCGGCGAGAACCUUUUCGCCACGGACGCGGACAGCGACGACGCCCGUCUCUCCUACAUGCUGGUGCGUGAGCCCGCCCUGGGGGAGAUCCAGAGGGGCGGCGUCAUGGUGGACAAGUUCACACAGCAGGAUGUCAUCCAGGAACUGAUCUUCUAUGUGCACACAGGAGGUGAGAUCGGACCCCAUCCUGUGUCCGACCCUGUCACCUUAAUCGUGUCGGACGGAGAGGCUGGAGCUCCGGAGGGCUGUUGCCAUGGAGAUGCACCACCUGUCCCCCUGCACGGAUUCCUUCCUGUAUAUGACCUUAACAUCACCGUCCUUCCUGUCAACAACCAGGCCCCUGUCAUAACGAUUGGGCACAUGUUUAUGGUUGACGAGGGGUCCGUCGCCUGCCUCUGUGGUGGCUUCCUGGGAGCCACCGACGCUGAUUCCCCCCAGGACCAGCUCCUGUUUUCCCUGGAUCUCCCCCCAGAACACGGCUUCAUAGAAAACACCCUGCCCUCGCCCGGAUUCGAGAAGAGCAACGCCGGGCUCGGAGUGGUCUCUUUCAGCUUUCCGCACCUCAGCGCCGGGUACAUUAACUACGUCCAGGCUCGGCACCGGGGGGUGGAGGCCACGGUGGACCGCUUUGUGGUCAGAGUCAGCGACGGGGUGCAGAAGUCAGCCCCCGUCCCCUUCUACGUCAUCAUCAACCCCACGAAUGACGAGGAGCCGUCCCUGUUGCUCGGCAACUUUUCUGUGGCAGAGGGAGGGAUGAAGGAUCUGGGCCCGGACCUUUUGGAUGCGGUGGACCUGGACGUACCUGCAGACACCCUAACCUUCUCGGUCCUAGUGCCCCCAGCCCACGGGAUGCUGCUGAACGGCAUCUAUGGCCUGCAGAUGAGCCGCUACCUGGAGAUGGAGCAGGGCCUCCUCCAGCGUACCCUGCUCGUGAAGUCCUUCACUAUUCAGCAGCUUCGGCAAGGAAUGAAGAUCAUAUACAUGCACGAUGACACAGAAACCUUCAAGGACGCUUUCAGCAUGCAGCUGACAGAUGGCAUACGCGCAGUCCAGGGGACGGCACACGUCCGCGUCCUACCAGUCAAUGAUGAAAAGCCAUGGCUGCGGAGAAAUACUGGUCUGGAGCUGGUGGCUGCGGACAGGAGAGUCAUCUCCAGUGUGCUGUUAGAGGUGGAAGAUGCAGACACCCCAGCCCAUGAGCUCCUCUACGUCCUCAGCGCCGGCCCCCGGUUCGGGCAGCUGCAGCUGAAGGUCGGGGCAGGCUGGACUGAUCUGAGGUCAGGUCAGAACUUCACCCAGGAGGACGUGGAGAUGAACCGCCUGUGGUACCAGCAGACUGCCACGCAGGGGCUCAGAGGACACGACGGCUUCCGCUUCCACCUAAGCGACGGAGACCACAUGUCGGCACCGCAUAGCUUUGUGAUCUCGCUGCAGGCCAUGGCCAGAGGGGACCUCACCCUCGUCACCAGGCCGGUGACCCUAACGGAAGGUGAGAGGGCUGUCCUGACGACAGACGUCCUGAUGGCGGCCGACGGCGUGGACAGAGCGGAGGAGCUGGUGUAUGUGGUGUUAGUGCCUCCGGAGCACGGGCAGCUGCACACGGUCCAAAACCCGGGAGUCCCCCUCGACACCUUCACCCAGCUGGACGUGGCUGCCCUGCGGGUCUGCUACACCCACGACAACAGCCGCAUGGCCUCACAGGAUGCGUUCAGCUUUGUUAUCAGCAAUGGAGUGGCAUCCAAAAAUGGGACUUUACUCUUCCUCAUCCGACAUGGCGACCGCAUCCCACCUACGCUGACCAACAAUAAAGGCCUCCGGCUGACAGAGGGCGCUGUGGUGCCAAUCUCCCCAGAUGCCCUAGAGCUGACCGACCCUGACACGGCAGCAGAGAACCUGACCUACACUCUGACCCAGCAGCCCCAACAUGGGAAGUUGCUCCUAAGAGGACACCCCCUUUCCCAGCCAAGGUUUACCCAGGCUGACAUUAACAACUGGGACCUGACCUACCAGCAUCAGAGCGGCCCAGCCCAGGCAGACAAGUUCUCCUUCCUGCCCUCCGAUGGCACCAACACAGGCUUCCUUCAGUAUGGCCAGCUGACUGAGGAGGCCGUUACCUUCACCAUUCAGGUGGAGUUUGUGGAUAGGAAGCCACCAGGACUGGUGACCAAGAGGAUCGCCAGUGUAGUGGAGAACUUUCCUGGAGGUAAACAAGGCAUCUACAUCACAUCCCGAGACCUGCGGGCCUCCGACCCCGACAGCCCCGAUCAGGAGCUGCAGUUCAUCAUCCUGAGACCCCCCCACUUUGGGCACUUGGAGAACACCCUCACAGGGGGCUACAUCAAAGGUCGCUUUACGCAGCAAGAUCUGAACCAGCGGGCUGUGCUGUAUGUCAUCUGGCCCAGCGUCCAGGGGACCGAGGACAGCUUUGAGUUCCAAGUCAGUGACCCUGCAGGAAACUCCAUGCCUCCAGAAGUACUGGAGGUGAAAUGGUCCCGAGUGGAGUUUUCGGUGACGUGUUUCCGUGUGUGUGAGAACGUGGGGAUGCUGGCCCUGCAGGUGACACGCACUGGGAACAGCGUAGACCCCGCCUACACUGGCAUCCAGGUGGAAAAUGGAACUGCAAAAAUAGGGAAAGAUUUUACCCACAGCUCAGCUAAUUUGAUCCAGUUUGAUCCAGGGGUGAACGUGAAGACGUGGAACAUUUAUAUUAAAGAUGAUGGGUUAGAAGAAACCAAUGAGAAAUUUCAGGUGGUCCUGAAAGGGCAGAAGAACACGGUUCUGGGCCAGAAAAACAGAACCACCAUUGAGAUUGUGGACCCCAGAGGAGGGUACUGUGACCCACAUGAGCUGCUUCCCGAUGAUGGAGAGGAGCGGUCAGCCCCCGCAGCCCCCGCAGCCCCUCCCAGCGUCCACAGCGGCCCCUCACAGCAUGCGGACCCGCUGAUCCCGGACCCAGACGCAGACCACUGGGAAAACUACCGUCCCCGGGGGGACGUUCCGGACAAGCAUGGCUUCCCGGAGGGGGGGGAGCCGCUGCAGGACCAGCCUGUGAGGAGGCCCCAGACAGCCCUGGGGAGACAUGGACACGUCGUUCAUCCAUCAGGCGUUGAGCUGAGGAACGGAGAGACAAUAUGGACAUUCCAUGGCAUCAAUCCUGCGCGGCCAGAGGGGAGAAACCUUCUGGGAGUGCAGUCAGCACCUCAGGUCCACCCCGAACUGGAGAUCAUGCCCAUCUGGAGCUGGUCCAGCCAUCAUCACAGGGACCAAGGAAGCGAGACUGCUGGGGGUGGCCAGUCUCCCCCUAGAACCCGCCUAGAAGGGCUCACGAAAAAGACUGAGGACUCCCCAGCUGACAUGUGUCCGUCUGGCUGGACGGCCCGAGAGAGCCGCUGUUUCAUCCUGAGUCACAGCAGGACGACCUGGAGCAGUGCACAGCACACCUGCACAUUGCUAUUUAACAGCAACUUAACAAGUGUCCACUCCAAACAAGAUAUGGCCUGGUUAUGGAAAUUUGCCAGAAAGCAGCCAUUUUGGAUUGGACUGACUGGCUACAGGGGACAGUGGGCCUGGACUGAUGGGAACUCGCUGACAUUUUCCAGACUCAAGAAGCAAAGCAGUACAGAAUUUCACUCCCAGGACAGGCUGGGCCUUCAGUGUGUGUUAGUCCAGAACCAGAAAAAAUGGACACCAAUGAACUGCACGACAGGACCAGAAUAUAAAUAUAUCUGCACAGUACCAGCCCAAAAUGUUCCACAACAAUAGCACAGAAUGUUUAAAAAGUAGCAUGCAAAGUCAUAUCAAUGCAAGAAAUGUGUUUAUGAAGGCCUGUUAUGUUCAUGAAGGCCUGUUAUGUUCAUGAAGGCCUGUUAGACUUUUUUUACAAAUCAGUUUUUUAUAAUCAAUCUGAGGGUCAGCCGCACAAAUAUAAGCAGAAUAACAGUCUGUUAUAUAUAUAAUUUAUACAGGUUUGGAUAUUUCCUGUAAGACUUUUUUACUGGUAGACCUCCGAGUGUACUGCAUGUAUACUUUUCUGCGAAGAGAGUCUCUGCUCUGCUUUAGAAGCUGAAGUAUACUUGGUCCCAAACUACAUAGAAUGUUUUAUGUAUGAUCUGUAUUCUCUUGCCAACAUAUUUAUACAUAUAUUUUUGUUAAUUAUGUACAUUUGUUGUUUGUUUUAAUGAGAUUUCACAACCCGUUUAAUAAAUUCAUGUAGUCCAGG